CAGUGCCCAGCGGGAGCGUCGGCGAACCCGGCGUCUUCCCGCGACUGGCCACCCGUGUCUACCUUACCUUCUGUUGCUUCGGCGGGCCCGUCCCCCACUAACCAUGGGGGGCCGCCGGGGGAGGCGUACCCACGCGCCCCUGGCCCGCGCCCGCCGAGGGACCCCUCGAACUCCUGUGAAGUUUUUGUUGUCUGAGUGCAUCUUUUAAUGAUACA
rnacentral:misc_RNA from 1 species